rnacentral:rRNA from 1 species
GAUGAACGCUAGCGAUAGGCUUAACACAUGCAAGUCGAGGGGCAGCAUGGUCUUAGCUUGCUAAGACUGAUGGCGACCGGCGCACGGGUGCGUAACGCGUAUGCAACUUGCCUCACAGAGGGGGAUAACCCGUCGAAAGACGGACUAAUACCGCGUACACUUGGGAUAGGGCAUCCUGACCCAAGGAAAUGAAAUUCGCUGUGAGAUAGGCAUGCGUCCCAUUAGCUAGUUGGUGAGGUAACGGCUCACCAAGGCGACGAUGGGUAGGGGAACUGAGAGGUUGAACCCCCACACUGGUACUGAGACACGGACCAGACUCCUACGGGAGGCAGCAGUGAGGAAUAUUGGUCAAUGGGCGAGAGCCUGAACCAGCCAAGUCGCGUGAAGGAUGACUGUCUUAUGGAUUGUAAACUUCUUUUAUACGGGAAUAACAAGGGCCACGUGUGGCUCCCUGCAUGUACCGUAUGAAUAAGCAUCGGCUAACUCCGUG